rnacentral:rRNA from 1 species
UACGGGGGGGGCAAGCGUUGUUCGGAAUUACUGGGCGUAAAGGCUCGUAGGCGGCCAACUAAGUCGGAUGUGAAAUCCCCGGGCUCAACCCGGGAACUGCGUCCGAUACUGGCAGGCUUGAAUCCGGGAGAGGGAUGCGGAAUUCCAGGUGUAGCGGUGAAAUGCGUAGAUAUCUGGAGGAACACCGGUGGCGAAGGCGGCAUCCUGGACCGGCAUUGACGCUGAGGCGCGAAAGCC